CGACGAAUAUUCCGCAAUGGGGGAAACCCUGACGGAGCAAUGCCGCGUGUGGGAUGAAGCGGUUUCGCCGUGUAAACCACUGUCAGAGUCUAGGAACACUGACCAGACUCAGAGGAAGGGCCGGCUAAUUCCGUGCCAGCAGCCGCGGUAAUACGGAAGGCCCGAGCGUUAAUCGGAAUCACUGGGCUUAAAGCGUGCGCAGGCGGACCUGAAGGUGUCUUGUGAAAGCCCUCGGCUCAACCGAGGAAUUGCGGGGCAAACCACAGGUCUUGAGGCAGGUAGGGGUCGAUGGAACUGUCGGUGGAGCGGUGAAAUGCGUAGAUAUCGACAGGAACGCCGGUGGCGAAGGCGAUCGACUGGGCCUGUCCUGACGCUCAGGCACGAAAGCGUGGGGAGGCAAACAGGAUUAGAUACCCUGGUAGUCCACGCCGUAAACGAUGCGCACUAGGUCGGAGCGGUUUUGACGCCGUUCCGGCCGACGUAAAACAUUAAGUGCGCCGCCU
rnacentral:rRNA from 1 species